UGCCAGCCACACCCAUAGGACAGAGCC
rnacentral:piRNA from 1 species